rnacentral:rRNA from 1 species
GACGUAGGGCGCAAGCGUUGUCCGGAUUUAUUGGGCGUAAAGAGCUCGUAGGCGGUUUGUCGCGUCUGCUGUGAAAACGCGAGGCUCAACCUCGCGCCUGCAGUGGGUACGGGCAGACUGGAGUGCGGUAGGGGAGAUUGGAAUUCCUGGUGUAGCGGUGGAAUGCGCAGAUAUCAGGAGGAACACCGAUGGCGAAGGCAGAUCUCUGGGCCGUAACUGACGCUGAGGAGCGAAAGCGUGGGGAGCGAACAGG